rnacentral:misc_RNA from 1 species
AGCAGCCGCGGUAAUUCCAGCUCCAAUAGCGUAUAUUAAAGUUGUUGCAGUUAAAAAGCUCGUAGUUGAAUUUCGGGAUUGGCGCAUCGGUCGUGCCUCACGGGGUAUGAACUGGUGCAGUCAAUUUCUCACCUUCUGGAGAACCGCGAUGUCCUUAAUUGGAUGUCGCGGGGAACCAGGACCUUUACUUUGAAAAAUUAGAGUGUUUAAAGCAGGCUAUUUUUGCUUGAAUACAUUAGCAUGGAAUAAUAAAAUAGGACGGCAUGGUUCUAUUUUGUUGGUUUCUAGGACCACCGUAAUGAUUAAUAGGGAUAGUUGGGGGCAUUAGUAUUCAAUUGUCAGAGGUGAAAUUCUUGGAUUUAUUGAAGACUAACUACUGCGAAAGCAUUUGCCAAGGAUGUUUUCAUUAAUCAAGAACGAAAGUUAGGGGAUCGAAGACGAUCAGAUACCGUCGUAGUCUUAACCAUAAACUAUGCCGACUAGGAAUCAGACGAUGUUAAUUUUUAAUGACUCGUUUGGC